AGAGCGAACGCUGGCGGCAGGCCUAAUACAUGCAAGUCGAACGAAUCCUUCGGGAUUAGUGGCGGACGGGUGAGUAACACGUGGGAACGUGCCCUUUGGUUCGGAACAACUCAGGGAAACUUGAGCUAAUACCGAAUGUGCCCUUCGGGGGAAAGAUUUAUCGCCAUUGGAGCGGCCCGCGUCUGAUUAGCUAGUUGGUGAGGUAAAGGCUCACCAAGGCUACGAUCAGUAGCUGGUCUGAGAGGACGACCAGCCACACUGGGACUGAGACACGGCCCAGACUCCUACGGGAGGCAGCAGUGGGGAAUUUUGGACAAUGGGGGCAACCCUGAUCCAGCAAUGCCGCGUGAGUGAAGAAGGCCUCGGUUGUAAGCUCUUUGUCAGGAAGAACGGUGAGGGCUAAUAUCCUUUGCUAAUGACGGUACCUGAAGAAUAAGCACCGGCUAACUACGUGCCAGCAGCCGC
rnacentral:rRNA from 1 species